GGAGGGAGGAGAUAGAGAGGAAGGUAAGGAAAAUAAUGGAGGGUGAAGAAGGUCGGGAAAUCAGAGAGAGGGUUAAAGGGCUUAAAAUUAGUGGGGAAACGGCCGUCUCUAAGGGUGGCUCCUCCUACAAUUCUUUGGCUCUUAUGGCUUCGGAAUGCCAUAUUUUCCGGCGCCAACGUGACGAGAGAACGGAGUUUUAGUGCAUGUUUGCAAACGGUUAUAAAAUUAAAUAAUGAAAAUCAGAUUUUUCAC
rnacentral:misc_RNA from 1 species